rnacentral:misc_RNA from 1 species
AACGCACCUUGCGCUCCUUGGUAUUCCGAGGAGCAUGCCUGUUUGAGUGUCAUUAAUAUAUCAACCCUUCACUUGUUGAGCGGUUUGGAUGUGGGGGUUUGCCUGGCCCCUUAAAAGGUUUUGGCUCCCCUAAAAUGCAUUAGCAGAACAACCCUGUUCAUUGGUGUGAUAAACUAUCUACGCUAUCGAAUGUGAAGGGCAGUUUGGCUUUCUAACAGUCCUCGGACAAACUCAUCAUUAAUGUGACCUCAAAUCAGGUAGGACUACCCGCUGAACUUAA